rnacentral:rRNA from 1 species
UACGUAGGGGCGAGCGUUGUCCGGAUUUAUUGGGCGUAAAGAGCUCGUAGGCGGUUCGAUAAGUCGGACGUGAAAUCUCCACGCUCAACGUGGAGGGGCCGUUCGAUACUGUCGUGACUCGAGUCCGGUAGGGGAGUGUGGAAUUCCCGGUGUAGCGGUGAAAUGCGCAGAGAUCGGGAGGAACACCCGUAGCGAAGGCGGUUCUCUGGGACGGUACUGACGCUGAGACGCGAAAGCGUGGGGAGCGAACGAGGA